UACGUAGGGUGCGAGCGUUGCCCGGAUUUAUUGGGCGUAAAGGGCGCGUAGGCGGCUCGGCACGCCGUUGUGAAAUCGCCCGGCUCAACUGGGCGGGGUCAGCGGAUACGGUCGAGCUUGAGCAAGCUAGGGGGUAAUGGAAUUCCCGGUGUAGUGGUGGAAUGCGUAGAUAUCGGGAGGAACACCAGUGGCGAAGGCGGUUACCUGGGGCUUUGGCUGACGCUGAUGCGCGAAAGCGUGGGGAGCAAACAGGG
rnacentral:rRNA from 1 species